AGGCAAAAACCUUAGGUAAAAUUGCUGGUUUCUGUGAAAUCAAGUAAGAACAGCAGAAAAUACAGAGACGCUUAUUCUAUCCAGCACAGUAAGUCGCCCAGUUCAAAUGUGCCCUGAUCCAUAACACCUUUUGUGGCUCUACUGGCUCAUAUUAAUCUCACCCACCUCAGAUUUUCCAGAUCAUCUAUGGCACCUUCACCACAGCAUUUAUCACAUUUGACCUUGAACCACAGUGAAUUUUUUACACUGCUCAUUCACACCACGUAUUUUAAGUUCUUUGGGGAAAUCCCUUGUGUUUCCAAGAGCACAGCACUAUGCAAGGAACUGGCUUAGGGCCACCAGCUUGCAACUUCUAACACUGGGUUUUUACCAACCUGCAGUAGGUCUUUAUGCACUAACAGAGUCGCUACACCUGUAUCCAUUAAAAAUGGCAAUCUCUUGAAGGGACAUACAAGAAUACUGCAUUUGAGAUGUCUGUCUAUAAAACACAGGAACAGAAGAACCGUAAAUUAGAACCAAAGUGCCCAGCCCACUUUCAUCUGUGACUAUUCUAUGGGAUCAGAUCUCAGGACUGAAGGAUAUCCUAAAGUGGCUCUGUGCUGGCAGUAAGCUUGCUUCAUGUGGUUGUCCAGCCACUUAACUGCUUCCUUCAGACAGACAAGCAACGGCAGGCAUCUCAGUGGGCCGGCAGAGUGUCCAAUCCAGUUUGAUUCAAUUAAUGUUUAUGCACUACCUUCCAUAUACCAUGGUGCUACACAGUCUCCACCCUACAGUGGGGAAGUCAGGCAAGUAAACAAAUGACAACACAGAACAGUGUGUGACAUUCUGAGAAGGAAGUAUGCCAAGGGUAGCUUAUAGGGAAAUGGAAAUAAGGGUGGUUUUGCAUAAGAGGAGACACUUGAGCAGAGCCUUAAAGCUUAGAAGGAAUCAGCCGGACGGAAGAAACAAAGAGGCAACACCCAAACUCAAGGUCUUUCAAGUAGUCCCAGCAAACGGCCAAUGCACGUACUGUGAGUGGCUGGAGCUCCAAAGUGAAAGAAUGGUGGCUGCAAGCAUGGAGAGUUUCUCCAGGAUCUUGAACUUGACUGUUGAGAGAAAACAACUUUGGGCUAUAUGGGUCUCCUCCUGUAUUAAUUCUCAGGAGGUCAAAGACUCUCAGAGCGGCACCAAGUCAGGAAAGGGCCUUCUCCAUCACUGACUAUAAAGAGAGAGCAAUGGCAAUGAACAUGAAGGGUAAGAGAGGUUCUGAGCAAUCUUCCAACCAAUUCCAUUAAAUCAUUAAGGUGUAAACAACAGUUUGUCUCAUCAGCCUUUUUUUGCCAAAGGCCUUCACUGUUUUUCUCUUUUAGUUAUCCUUGCAAAGGCAGAUUUAUCGUUGAACUUCAGCAAGGGCUGGCAGUUUUCCAACACAAGGAAGCACUGUCCAAAGUCAGUCUAAUUUUAAAGAUUUCAUCUUACUCAAACAAAUUUGACACAUCCUUACUAAAACGCUUUCUACAUAUUUAACUGUUGAGGUUUAAAAGAAGAGAUAACAAGGAGCCCAUGAAACCAUCCCCGUUGUCAAAGAAGCUUGUGAUCUUCGGAGAAAGACAAAACUUAUCAACAUGAAACAAUUAGACACAAAACCAUCCAAAACUGUGCAACCCCCCCCCUAAAAUCAAGUUAACUGGG